ensembl:lncRNA
GUUGAAUGCUCCAUCUUCCGCAUGACCUGGUCAAAACAGAUUCAAUCACACUGAUGCGGAACAUAAUACUUACUCCUGCCAGAAGCCAUAUUACUUUCAGUUGUUGACUCCAAGAAGCUUUGCUAAUUUGCCAAAAUCUGACUAAAUCUCCAGAAAUUGGCUGUAAAUGUAUUUUAAACAUAAGGGGAGAAGCUGGAUCCGUCAUGGUGUUUAGAUUGUUUGGGAAUUAAGGAAGCAGAACUUGAAGUUCAUGAUAUAAAGACACAUCAUAUUAAACUAAAGCCAUCCUAAGGCUGACAUUAUAGAUGUAUACAACAUGGAAUUGAAAAAAACAGGGUGUUUUAAUUCUCUCCCAAGCUGCUCUCCACCAGUCUGGGCAUUUGCUACCUACAGCCUGUAUGGAAAAACUGAAUCAUAAGAAUGUUGAACUUUCCAUUAGAUCAGUCACUCAAUGGGCCUGGAAAUAAUUUUUGAGCUCCAGUCCAGUCCUUUGAUCAUACCAUUUCUUCGGUGCUUUAAAGAAUGUCAUCUCUGGUGGUUAUCCAGCAUGUAUUAUUUGCGUCAAGAUGAAGUGCAUCUCUGCACACACAGUGUUAAAGUUUUUUCAGGGUUUCACCUGGAAACCUUAGCAGUUCCUAGUGGAAGUCUGGACAUCUGUGGAAAUAGGCUUUGUUACCUCCAAAGCUGCUUCAGAUGAGCGCGCAUACGUCUUCCUUCUAUUCUUCCUUGGCUCUGAGUCUGUGACCUGCAGGCUGAAUCACUGUGGAUAGUUACCAGCCACACAUCCUGCAGGAAACCUGGCCUCAACUAAGAAAAACACUGAAAUACAUUUAAGUUGUUCCCAGUCAUUUGAAGAGACAAAGCUUGCUUAAAUCAGUAGGGCCAAAUACUUGCUUAAGUUAAAUCACAAUGAGCUGCUCAGCAAGAGGCUCUGUGAUUUCUCAGUGCCUGUGAGGGUAAACUAUACAAACAUUGUAGUCUUUGGAUAUAAAGAGAGAAAACCUUCAUACUGUACUGAGAAGUAUAGGUUAGAUAAAGCAGCACAAAAUCAUAAUUAAGGCUGGACUAUGUGUUCAUUUUAAUAGGAAAAUCUAUAUUUUCAAAUUUGAAGAGUAAUUAAAAGUUAGUCAAUCUAAACUUGAGCUGUACACAUACCCAAUGGUCUACCACAUUGUGAUGCUUUUCUCAAAGGCAACAAAUACAGAUAUUUUAUAAGGAUCCAAACCGAGUCUACUUGGAUGUAUUUAUGAUGCCUCACAUGCAAGAAUAAAUUCAUCUGAAGCAAUAUAAAAGGAGGAGCUUAAUGGCUUUUAUAUCUUUGAGAAAAUAUAAACUGUUCUAACUUUUUAUUGACUAACCAAACAUCCUCCUCAAAGGAAUAGUUAGAAAUUUUGGUAAUUUGAAACUUUGCACAAAGGAAUUCUCUGUGAACCAAGACAGUAUCAAAUGUGCAUUUAGAUAUUGUGUUAGCUUACAAAAGAAGCAUGGAAUGCCUUAUUCUUAUUUUUAAGGUACUAUUAAAAAUGCCAUUGUUUUCUCUCAUCUCAAGUCAAUAUAAUAACAUAAGAAGGAUCUGUAGGAGUUAGGUGAAGUAAAUUAAAACAAUUUCAAAAAAUGUCUACAGAUUUGUCUUGAGAGACCAAGAGUGCAGUUAUCAAAUAUAAAUGACUGCCAAUUCAGGCAGAAUCAAAAAGAAGAACGCAGAGAGAGAGAAAGGAAAGCAAAAAACAGGAAGUUUUUGUCAUUUUUGGUCAUUGUGUGUCAGUGAGAGAAGAAAUUAAUAAACUGGCAUUGUUCUUAGUGACCUUCUUGAUGGUAGUUUCAAGAAGUCAAGGAUCAAAGAGUCAUAGGAAUUAUGCAGAAAUACUGCUGUGUUGUCACUCUCGUGUAGCUCCCUUGCAUCAAGUUGGAGGAUAAACAGGACUCUGGGGCAACACCAUCACAUCCUUUCUGUAAGGUUUCUAAUGCCUUGCACAUCUAGGUACCUAUCUGCCAGAUUCCAAGCUGAAUAUAUAUUUUAUUUUAAUUUUAUUUUGUGUCUGUGUUUCUCUCUUUGUAUCAUUUCUCUUAAGCCUUACUGCCACCCUGGUUUAUAGGGUAUUUCCUACAGGAUUAAGUUUGAAGUGAUCAGACUUUGUGUCUGUCCUCCCUGCAUGACUACAGGAGGGGCUUUAGAAUUUCACUGGGAUUUUAAAUAUCAAACAUAGCUUGAAAUCCUAUAACUUUGGGAAAUACUGAAUAGAUUAUACAAAAAAUCAUCUAUUUCUUACUGAAAGAGAGAUAAUCUUUCAUCUAGUUUCUUGCUGUCUAUGAAAUACCCUUUUUUUAAAAAAUCUCUUUACUUAUCUCUUAUUUUUACCACUUCCCAAGUGGGUAAAAGAAAGAGUUCCCUCUAUUUUUGAAUGGUACAUAAUCCCAAUUACUCUGGAAUAAAAUCAGAUUCUGUAAUCUAAUUUAGUGUCUCCUCUUCAGACUUUGCUUCUUCUGCUUUUAUGUUGAUCCCCUUACAAGUUUUUCUAGUAGAUUGGAAGCAUAUAAUGUAUGUUUGAAUGGAUUCUUAAUGGAUUUGGAAACACUGCUUCCAGGGAACAAGCAUCAGCACCCAAAAUUAGUCUGUGGUGCUAUAGUAAUUUUCCUUCUCCGGAACUCCUUUUUUUUCUUCCUGUAAUCUCUACAUUUGCUUCUUUGUGUUUGCUUUUCACUGUCUCAGCUUUUUCCCAGAUUCCUUUCUGCUUCUGGUCCUCUCCUUUGUAGCAGUUUUCAUUUGUUGCACGCCAGCGCAUUAAGGACUAGCACAGUCUGGUUAAAAUCAGUUACGUGCAAGGAGCAGAACUUUGCACAGCCAAUUUCAGCGCCCAUCGCAGUCACCGGGAAAACAACCAUUUACCUCACUGGGAGCCAAAUGAAGCAGAACAGGUACUGGUACAUCUGUACAGUCACAUGUACUUUGAUUAAAGUUCACAGUUCUGCUCUCUCACUGCCUUCACCCCACCAAUGAAGGUGCAAAUUCCACCUCUGUGAUCUGGUGGGGGGCAGCAGGGGCUGGCAGCUGCCUGGAGGCAAUGGGGGCACCCAGGGCCCGGCACCAAAGGCCUGCACAGAGGCUGAUGGAGGUGAGGCCCUGACCAAGGGGACCACAAAGGGCCGUUCAUGCACCUAGGAAAGCAAAUGCGACUUUCACAGAGGCAGACUCAAAUUUUUACUCUGAAACUACAGGCUGUAGACCACCACCUUAACAUGCUUUUAGAAGUCCUGAAGAUUUUUGGUUUUUAGUAUCAUCUAUUACAAACUUACAGACAUCUUUUACUCCUUAAGGGGCUCGCCAAAGAAGUACAGCAGAUAUAAGAGCACCUCAGAAUGGGCUGAUAUUUAAUCACAGGUUGUAAAUACCUUUUACGAACUUCCCUAUCUGCAUCUGCUGCUAUGCGUGGCACAACAUCAAGUUAGUCAGCUUUGUUUAUGUCUUUGGUAAGGGGGAGCUUGGAACAUGAUGUCUCAAGUUUAGAGACAAUAAAGCUACAUGUUUGCACUGGGAAAAGCGAGGAAUGAAGCUACAGAAGAUUUACCAAGUGUACACAGCCAACUUCUGAGGAAGCCUAUGCUCUGCUCUGUAGGGCUGCAGAGCUCAACCACAGCAGCAGAGAGGGCUGGAGAGGAGGAUGGCUCUCCCGGUUCCUGCCAGAUCAGACAACCAGCAGCAGGCAGGGGGGUGAGCAGCAAGAAGUGUAACAGAAGUUGUUACUGGGAGGACAUCGCGUCUCACAAGCAGCAUUCUGAGUUUCAGCAAGUCACCUUGAAAGAGAACCGGAAACCUCACUGCCAGAUAAACAAGCACAUUCCUAAUGAUCACCAGCUCUCCUGAAUUGUUUCUUUCUUGUCUUGCCUCAAAGUAUUUUAGCUGGCACAACAGGUUUAACUCUGCAGUCUUUACGCUUGAAAAUGUGACAAAUUUUCUGGUUCGUUCUAAUCAGCACAACUUUUAACAUGUGAAAAGGAACGAAUAUUCAUUCCGGCCUCACCCCCCUCUGUCCAAAGCACCGCUGGAGAGGAGCAAUGCCUCUGGUUCUUCUCCACACGCUGGAAUUUUGCAUUUCUAUGUCAGCAAGGCUUCCAGCCCCAAGCCGCACAGGCUGCGGUUAGCCCGGAGCGCCGCAGAUCAUCUUUCACAGGCAGGUUGCAACUGCAACCUUCUGCUCCCAUUCUGCCAUCCACCUAUCUUCUGCAUCAAUGUUACUUGAGAUUUACGUUUUUACGUUGACUUUAAGCUUCUACCUUAGUUGCGGGGCUUUUUGUUUGUUUCUUUGUUCUUUGUUUAGAAGAUACUAUUUUCCCUGGUGUUCAUUACAGUUGGCUUUGGGUAUAUCGGGAGCUUAGUCAGCAGUUAGAGCAGCGAGAGGCCAGGACUUGUUUUUCUUCUUUUUAUCCCUUUCAUCCAGUGGAAAAAGUUUCCCGCUGCUCUGCCUACUGAUAUUCGAUAUUCUGUCUCCGACGGCUGUACAUCUUUAAGUUUUAAAGAACAGCACAUCAGAGAGCUCUGUUAAUUAUCACUCAUUUUGAGUUGUUGUUGGGUUGUUUUGUCUUUUUUCGCCUGCAUUUUGGAGGUGAUGCUUCUCAGGGGAAUGUUUUUUCCUGAUCCAAUUCAUAUUUGUAUAAUAACAAAGCACUUUCUCAUAUUUCUCAUGUUUCGUAACAGCGUAUUUAAUCUGCAGAAUUAAAAGAAUGCUUGCAAUAAGCAAAGCAGCAAAGCAGCAGCUUUUGCAGAAUGUAUUUUACAAGUAAUAUUGCAACACAAAAAAAAGUAGAGAGAUCUGGGGAGUUUCUCUUGGAAUAGUUUACAUUCUAAUAGAUUUUCCUGGUAGGUAUCUUCCUGCCUAUGCUUUAUGAGCAUCUUUCUGGAAACAACAUCAAAUACCUACAUUGGAAAGGAUCCAGUGGGAAGCCGUUACUGUGCAGUUAUUGAUCAUUUAAUCAGACAUACUACUUACGGCCAUUUUAUGAUGAGUAAAUUGCAAAAACAGUUCCAAAAUCUUAUUCUAGCACGACUGUUAAAGUCCCUGGUUAUCUUUACAACUGUUUCCCACUGUCUUUUGAAACAGGAAGCCUUAAUCGGUAGAAAAACACAAGUAUACACAAGCAGAAAUACUGAAGGAGUGAUUGCAAGGUAGGUUGGCCAAUCCUGCAAUCACAUGGAUUAACUGCCCAGAAUUUAGAUAUGUAUGCAACAUCCUUCAUAGAUCCCUCGCAGUGGAAAAGCAGAAUUCAUGAGACAGCUCUUCUGUGGCAGUCAGUUAUAGUUCAGUAAAUCAUUGUCUUGCUUUACUUCGCUCAAUUUAAUUGCACAAAAUCAUUGGCUCGAGGUCAACUUCUAUGUGAUCCCUUAGUGCUCCCACAACAGCUCUGCCUCAGCCACAGCCUGUCUUAGAGCCAGAACCACACAUGGACCUGUAAGGAGGAAAGUGGAAUAAGCCCAAAUGUCUGAACUUUCAGAACCCUUAUAAGCAAUUAACUUUAAAACACUGAUGAAUUUGACGUCACAACAUAUUUGUAGUUCUGGUGGCUUUGUUGUUGUCGUUUUGUUUGUUGUUGUUGUUUUCUUCUUCUUUUCAUCUACUGUAACUGUCAUGGUAUUUAAGGAAAAGUUCUUCUAAGUCUUGUGUGUACAUGAGAGUUGGUGCCAGAAACCAAACAUCUGGCAGAAAAUAUUUGCUCCUACAAUAACAUUUCCUCUGCUUACUUUUUUAUAAAGCAAACUUUAAUUGUUUCCAGAAAUAUUAUGUGUUUCUGCUCUUCUCUGAUAUAUCUUAACUUUUCUUUCCUUUGGAAAAAAAAAAAAAAAAAACCAAAAACCAAAACACACACAAAAGAAAAACUCCCAAAAAGGCAGAGAGAAAACCUUCGUGGUGUUUUUCAGCAUUCCUUCCUCAGCCUGCUGUUCGAAUCUGAUUGUAAUAAUUCACUCGAUGUUUUCAUAAAAAGACCGAGGCUUCUUUCACAAAGAAAAGCUCAUAAUUAAAAGGUUGUACCUUGCAAAGGAGUUUGGCAAAAUCUGAAUUUCAUAGCGGAAGGAUCACAGAGCAGAACACAAAAAGAAGAACAAAGCACAUUUUUGAUGUAUUUACUGAAAGUUGCAGAAAAAAAAAGUUAGAAAAUGAUGUGUAGUAAGCUGUGGUGUGGUUUGUUGGGUG